UUUUAAAAAGAUAUUUGCACAUCUUCUUUCUUAUUUUUUUGAUUUGCUCAUGCAAAAAAUAUUCAAUAUAGUGCUCAGUGUGUUAACUAGUUUCAUAAUUAUGAAUAUUUCUGGAAAAUUUAUUGUAAACCAAUUAGAAAUUCAUUAUUUUAAGAAUAUUAGAAAGUAUUUUAAAUGUAUUUAUGAUAAUUCUAAGAUUAAGCGGUGCAAUGGUGGUGGUGUUAUGAUUGACAACAACUUCACAGAAUCUAAGAAAUAUCGUCACAAUCAUAGUCGAAAUCUUAAGUUGGCUGAUGACACUAAAUUUUGUCAAACUCUAAGACAAUUUUCUCGUUUACCAUUUGUAAAACCGAAACAAGUUGUGAAAGCUUUGGAACGAGAUGAACCUGAAGUGACAUCGUCUUUAAUGUUGUCAACUUUACGUAAGAGGGUGCAGCGAUCCAUUAAGAAAGAAAAUCCGGUUAAUACUAAUAUUAAGUUAGCUCCUAAAAAUUUGAUGGAAUUCGGAAGAAAUUUAGAAAGUUCCACCGAAGAAUUAAAAUAUGGAUUGCAUAAGGAAAUGCAAUUAACAGCGAAGCUUUUAACGUUUCAAGUUCAAACCAGCAAGCGUGAAGUAAAGGAAGCCACUGUUAUUCUUAUGUACGAUGCAGAUUACUUGGAAGAAAUUAGUCCUUUCGUAGAAGUUAUUUCAACUGACGCGACUUUUAACUCAUUUCCUGAUCUGCAUGUGCGUAAAGGGCAGUUGAUGACAGUUAUGGUUCAAUUACGAACUGAUAACGAUUGUCAAAAGGCUAUACCUUGUACUUGGGUUCUUAUGAACAACAAAAGCACAGAUUGUUAUUUGCAAGUGUUUCAAUUUUUGGCUGACAAUUUUAAAAAUUUCAGGCCAAAAUAUUCCAUGACUGAUUACGAAAUCGCAUUAAGAAAUAGCCUUAAAGAGGUUUUUCCUGGCAUUCAAACAAAAACCUGUUAUUUCCAUUAUAGUCAGGCCUUGAUCAAAAAUGCUCAGGAAAAGAAAUUGAUAGACAAGGAUAACAAUAAAGAAGAACGCCCGGAACUUUUCAUUUUUUUGAACCGAUUGAAACUUCUUGCUUUGUUACCAGCUGAAUUCAUUGAAAGUGUUUACGAGAAAAUUGAAAAAGAAUGUUUAAACGAUUUUGGCGAUUAUUUCAGAGAUUACCUGAAUUAUUAUGAAAAGCAAUGGUUGAAGCAAGAAGGGGCAGCGCAGAUUUCUGUUUACAAGCUACGAAAUCGAACUAACAAUUUUUUAGAAAGUUAUCAUAAACAGUUAAACACUUUCUUAUCAAAAAGGCCGAAACAUAAUGUUUUUGUUGGCCUGGUAAUAGUCUCAUUGGAACCCACGCACCAUACGAAACCAGCGCACACAUGAAUUGAUAUCUGUGCAGUCAAUUUAUUUUUACUACCGGGGGACAAUCAUCAAAGCCAUUUCUGUCUGGUCAUAACCUGAUCUAUAUGUCUAUUAAGUAUGAAAUGUUAUACAGCUAGUGGAAAAAUGUUAAAUAUAGACGAAGUUUAUAUUUUUUGGCAGUGCGGUAAAUGCUUGCAGAAUAUAUCAUAGUCAUAGUGAUAGUCUUACGUUAUAUUUUGACAAUAAAAUGAUAGAGUUUGUUAAUUCCUUCAAAUACUUAUGGGUUGUGUUUGACAGUACACUGUCAUGAAAUCAGCAUGUAGCUAAUGUUAAAAAAGGCAUAGCAUGUGCUCUUUAUGAAAUGCAUAUGAAUGAUUCAAUUUUAAGUGUAUUGAUGUAAACGUAAACUUUUCGAUGCACUGGUACGACCAAUUUACAAAAUGGGGAGUAUGAGCACAUAUCUCAGCAUCAGCAUAGUUUGUACAUUCACACUCUACGGCGUCACAGAUUAUUAAUUGCGAGGUGUAAUUUCUGGGAUUAUCUUUAAUUGAAAAUGACCUCAUCUAAUACGAUUGACGAAUUUCGUAAUUAAAGUUUGUUGCACUAUAUUAAUCAAAAGAGAAAUAAUGACUGAAAACAGUUAGUGUAGGAAUGCAUGAAAUUAUAGGAGAUGACAAUGAUAAUUAAUGUCAAAAUAUUAUGCAUUCAAAUUUAAAUUGAAUUUUAUUUGUGCAUUGAAUCUUUCCUUUAGGAAAUUUAAUAACCAAAAUAGUGAAAUUGUCUUCUGAAUAUUAUUAUGUCAGGAUGUUCCGCUUCAGACGACUAUUUUCAACGGCUUAUGAUGCGAAGAAUCAGAGAGUGCUUUACGAAUGAAAAUUUUUUUUCGCGUCAUUUCGGCGACUAUUUUUAUAAUUAUACUCUUCUUUGGUCACGGAAUCAAGAUACUUUGCAUACUAUAGUCAAG
rnacentral:misc_RNA from 1 species